CCAACUGGGAUUGCCUCAGUAACGGUGAGUGAAGCGGCAAGAGCUCAAAUUUGAAAUCUGGCUUCGGCCCGAGUUGUAAUUUGUAGAGGUGUCUUUGGCGUACACGUCGGCCUGUAUUCCUUGGAAUAGGAUGGCACAGAGGGUGAGAUCCCCAUCUACGGCCAGCAGUCGUCGCCAUGUAUAGACCCUUCGACGAGUCGAGUUGUUUGGGAAUGCAGCUCAAAAUGGGUGGUAAAUUUCAUCUAAAGCUAAAUAUUGGCGAGAGACCGAUAGCGCACAAGUAGAGUGAUCGAAAGAUGAAAAGCACUUUGAAAAGAGAGUCAAACAGUACGUGAAAUUGUUGAAAGGGAAGCGCUU
rnacentral:rRNA from 1 species